GACGAACGCUGGCGGCGUGCUUAACACAUGCAAGUCGAACGAAGCUUGAUUACGGAUUCUUCGGAUGAAGUAUGAUAUGACUGAGUGGCGGCCGGGUGAGUAACGCGUGAGUAACCUGCCCUUCAGAGGGGGAUAGCGUUUGGAAACGAACGGUAAUACCGCAUAAUGUAUUUUGACCGCAUGAUCGAAAUACCAAAGAUUUAUCGCUGAAGGAUGGACUCGCGUCUGAUUAGGUAGUUGGUGGGGUAACGGCCUACCAAGCCGACGAUCAGUAGCCGGACUGGGAGGUUGAUCGGCCACAUUGGGACUGAGACACGGCCCAGACUCCUACGGGAGGCAGCAGUGGGGAAUAUUGCACAAUGGGCGCAAGCCUGAUGCAGCAACGCCGCGUGAAGGAAGACGGUUUUCGGAUUGUAAACUUCUGUUCUUAGUGAAGAAUAAUGACGGUAGCUAAGGAGCAAGCCACGGCUAACUACGUG
rnacentral:rRNA from 1 species